GGACGGGUGAGUAACACGUAGGUAACCUACCUAUAAGACUGGGAUAACUUCGGGAAACCGGAGCUAAUACCGGAUAAUAUUUCGAACCGCAUGGUUCGAUAGUGAAAGAUGGCUUUGCUAUCACUUAUAGAUGGACCUGCGCCGUAUUAGCUAGUUGGUAAGGUAACGGCUUACCAAGGCAACGAUACGUAGCCGACCUGAGAGGGUGAUCGGCCACACUGGAACUGAGACACGGUCCAGACUCCUACGGGAGGCAGCAGUAGGGAAUCUUCCGCAAUGGGCGAAAGCCUGACGGAGCAACGCCGCGUGAGUGAUGAAGGUCUUCGGAUCGUAAAACUCUGUUAUUAGGGAAGAACAAACGUGUAAGUAACUGUGCACGUCUUGACGGUACCUAAUCAGAAAGCCACGGCUAACUACGUGCCAGCAGCCGCGGUAAUACGUAGGUGGCAAGCGUUAUCCGGAAUUAUUGGGCGUAAAGCGCGCGUAGGCGGUUUUUUAAGUCUGAUGUGAAAGCCCACGGCUCAACCGUGGAGGGUCAUUGGAAACUGGAAAACUUGAGUGCAGAAGAGGAAAGUGGAAUUCCAUGUGUAGCGGUGAAAUGCGCAGAGAUAUGGAGGAACACCAGUGGCGAAGGCGACUUUCUGGUCUGUAACUGACGCUGAUGUGCGAAAGCGUGGGGAUCAAACAGGAUUAGAUACCCUGGUAGUCCACGCCGUAAACGAUGAGUGCUAAGUGUUAGGGGGUUUCCGCCCCUUAGUGCUGCAGCUAACGCAUUAAGCACUCCGCCUGGGGAGUACGACCGCAAGGUUGAAACUCAAAGGA
rnacentral:rRNA from 1 species